rnacentral:rRNA from 1 species
AACGUAGGGGACAAGCGUUAUCCGGAUUUACUGGGCGUAAAGCGCCCGUAGGCGGCCUGACAAGUUGGACGUGAAAGCUCCUGGCUUAACUGGGAGAGGCCGUUCAAAACUGUCAAGCUAGAGUCUGGAAGAGGGGAGCGGAAUUCCCGGUGUAGUGGUGGAAUGCGUAGAGAUCGGGAGGAACACCAGUGGCGAAAGCGGCUCUCUGGUCCAAAACUGACGCUGAGGGGCGAAAGCGUGGGGAGCGAACGGG